rnacentral:misc_RNA from 1 species
CACAAAUAUGAAAGCAGACCCUCAUUGGGGCGUAACGUCACGCCGUGUCCGCAAUAGCGUCAUUGCUGUUGUGCUGACGCGGCGGGGGGGUAACGCCCUUUUGGGCCAGUCUGACUCCAUAUUCACCCAUGUCUUUUGCGUACCUACUUGUUUCCUGGGCGGGUUCGCCCGCCAAUUGGACCCAAUUAAACCUUUUUUGUAAUUUGGCAAUCAGCGUCAGCAAAACAAUGUAAUAAAUUA